rnacentral:sRNA from 1 species
CACAUUCUGGUGCCGAGUUCACUUUGCCCACAUUCCUGCACACACGGAACCAGAAGAGGGUAUCUGAUCCCCUGCAACUAGAAUUACAGGUGAUUUUGAUGUGGGCCCUGGGACCUGAACUUGGAUCUGCUGCAAGAAGCACUCUUAACCACUUGGCCAUCUCUCCCGUCUCUGGUUUAUAAUUCAUGCAUACAUUGUAUUGGAAACUUUAUAGCACAGCCCAAAUUCUUCCUGUCAGUGGCUUAGAGUGAAUUUAGGAGCAGCGCUGCUGUUUCCUCUGCUGAGAUGCGUGGAAUAAACAGAAGGCAGGAGGAAGGCAACACUGAAGGAGCACGCUAAUGUGGAGUCAAAGACGCACAACCAGUACUGCUGCCCGGAGCGGAGAUGCUUGGCCCCUCUACCGCCUGACUGCAGGUCAGGCAUGCGCAGAUAAUUACACUGCUGCCAGAGACCGAGAAGCACACCAGCAAUAACGAGACAAGAGUCUCACACUCAUAUCUACUAAAAAGUGCAUUCUUUCACCUUC